UUGAGAAAUCAAUAGGGAAGAAAUUAAAGGGUAGAUGUUGCUACUUAUGUCACGAGAAGGGUCACUUCGCUUCUUCUUGCACGAGAGGUAAUUUAUCCAACCCAAUCAUUAUUGAUGAUAUAUAUUCUCUUGGGAAGGAUAAGGUUGGCAAUGUGUUUGCCAAGUUUGUUGGUACUCAAAGUGGUGUCAAGAAAAUUACCAUUUGGGUUGCCAAGCCUAUUGUGACUAACCUCUUAGGACCCAACGUGGUUGGUGACCAACAAGCUCAAACUUGAUCAAUAGGUGAAUGUGGAGGACAUUAGAGACUUGGAUACAUAAUGAAGAAUUAAGGGGUCUUCAUCAUUCAUAUUAUCUCAAGCCAAGUCAUUUGGAUUAUCUAGUUUCUAUCUUAUAUCCAAUGUGCCUCCUUACAGUAACUUGUACUUAAACUGUUUAAAUUGUUAGUUGCUUGCCCCUUUGCAUGUUGUGGUUUUGUACCUUGCAUGCGUUUGUAUAUGUUGUGCUUCCAACUUGUUUAUCUUGAGUAAUUGAGUAUGUGUAUGUUGGUUUGCAUAUCAUGUACAUGUGAGUCUUGUAUUGAGCCUUUUUGCAUCUUGUUUGUAUCUUUGUUGGCUCUUGUGAGAGAUUAAUGGAUUAUCCCACUGUGGGGGAGUUAUGUGCUUUGCACACCUCACAAUCCUAUAAAUGUGUAUACAUGGGGAAUACCACUUAGUAUUGAUAUUUCAAGAUUAUCUAGUUUCUAUGUGGUAUGCCGUACUCAUGAGAAAUUCAAAUUCUAUAUGGUCCAUU
rnacentral:lncRNA from 1 species